ACUCAAAUGAAUUGACGGGGGCUCACACAAGCGGUGGAGCAUGUUGCUUAAUUCGAGGCAACGCGAAGAACCUUACCUGGGCUUGACAUGUACGGAUUAACUCCUUGAAAGAGGAGCCACACCCUCUGGGUGGAACGUGCACAGGUGCUGCAUGGCUGUCGUCAGCUCGUGCUGUGAAGUGUCGGGUUAAGUCCCUUAACGAGCGCAACCCCUGUCGUUAGUUGCUCACGCGUAAUGGCGAGUACUCUAGCGAGACUGCCGGUGUCAAACCGGAGGAAGGCGGGGAUGACGUCAAGUCCUCAUGGCCUUUAUGCCCAGGGAUGCAAACGUGCUACAAUGGCGCGCACAGAGCGAUGCAAGGCCGCGAGGCGGAGCAAAUCGCAAAAAACGCGCCCCAGUUCGGAUUGCAGGCUGCAACUCGCCUGCAUGAAGUCGGAAUCGCUAGUAAUCGGAGAUCAGCUACGCUCCGGUGAAUGUGUUCCUGAGCCUUGUACACACCGCCCGU
rnacentral:rRNA from 1 species